rnacentral:rRNA from 1 species
GACGAGUCUCACGAACGUUAUUCGGAAUUACUGGGCUUAAAGGGUGCGUAGGCGGUGAAGUAAGUCGGGUGUGAAAUACCAUAGCUUAACUAUGGAACUGCACUCGAUACUACUUUGCUAGAGUAAGACAGAGGUGAGCGGAACUUAGGGUGGAGCGGUGAAAUGCGUUGACAUCCUAAGGAACACCGGUGGCGAAAGCGGCUCACUGGGUCUCUUCUGACGCUGAGGCACGAAAGCUAGGGUAGCGAACGGG